rnacentral:tRNA from 1 species
GGCAAGUAAGCUAAGUGAAUAGUGUUGGACUGAGAAGAACUCAAGAAGUUCAAUGAAAUGAGUUCAAAUCUCAUGUGAGCCU